GGUGUAGGUGGAUCUAUAAGUCAGGAGUGAAAGCCCCGAGCUCAACUUGGGAAGUGCUUUUGAUACUGCAGAUCUUGAAUGUGGGAGAGGAUCGUGGGAUUCCAGGUGUAGUGGUGAAAUACGUAGAUAUCUGGAGGAACACCGGUGGCGAAGGCGGCGAUCUGGCCCAACAUUGACACUGAGACCCGAAAGCGUGGGGAUCAAACA
rnacentral:rRNA from 1 species